rnacentral:piRNA from 1 species
UCCCGUACAAUGAGACUAGCC